AUUGAACGCUGGCGGCAUGCCUAACACAUGCAAGUCGAACGAAGGCUUCAGCCUUAGUGGCGCACGGGUGCGUAACGCGUGGGAAUCUGCCCUUGGGUUCGGAAUAACAGUUAGAAAUGACUGCUAAUACCGGAUGAUGUCGUGAGACCAAAGAUUUAUCGCCCAAGGAUGAGCCCGCGUAGGAUUAGCUAGUUGGUGGGGUAAAGGCCCACCAAGGCGACGAUCCUUAGCUGGUCUGAGAGGAUGAUCAGCCACACUGGGACUGAGACACGGCCCAGACUCCUACGGGAGGCAGCAGUGGGGAAUAUUGGACAAUGGGCGAAAGCCUGAUCCAGCAAUGCCGCGUGAGUGAUGAAGGCCUUAGGGUUGUAAAGCUCUUUUACCCGGGAUGAUAAUGACAGUACCGGGAGAAUAAGCUCCGGCUAACUUCGUGCCAGCAGCCGCAGUAACAC
rnacentral:rRNA from 1 species